CGCCUAAGGUGGGAUAGAUGAUUGGGGUGAAGUCGUAACAAGGUAGCCGUAUCGGAAGGUGCGGCUGGAUCACCUCCUUU
rnacentral:rRNA from 1 species